AACCUAGCACACCUGCGGUGUGUACCUGCGGAAGGAUCAUUACCUAGAGUUGUAGGCUUUGCCUGCUAUCUCUUACCCAUGUCUUUUGAGUACCUUACGUUUCCUCGGUGGGUUCGCCCGCCGGUUGGACAAAACUUAAACCCUUUGUAGUUGCAAUCAGCGUCUGAAAAAACUUAAUAGUUACAACUUUUAGCAAUGGAUCU
rnacentral:misc_RNA from 1 species